AUGCAAGAUACGGCCACCUCAACUUCCAGGCGCUUCGCAAGCUCGCCCAGCAAGGACUGGUGCGCGGGCUGCCCUCCAUUGACCACAUCGACCAGGUGUGUGACGGGUGCCUCGCCGGCAAGCAGAGGUGUGCCUCGUUUCCCGCAGAGGCGAACUACAGAGCGGAGCAGAUCCUGGAGCUGGUGCACGGCGAUCUUUGCGGGCCCAUCACGCCCGCCACGGCUGGUGGGCGGCGCUACUUCCUCCUCGUCGACGACAUGUCCAGGUACAUGUGGCUGUCAGUGCUUCGGUCCAAGGACGAGGCCGCGGGGGCGAUCGCGCGGUUCCAGGCGCGCGUGGAGACAGAGACAGGGCGCAGGCUGCGCGCACUGCGGACGGACUGCGGCGGCGAGUUCACCUCCGUCGACUUCAGCGACUACUGUGCAGACCGAGGGGUGCAGCGGCAGCUCACGGUGCCGUACUCCUCAACAAAACGGCGUUGUGGAGCGCCGUAACCAGACGGUGGUGGCCAUGGCCAGGAGCAUGAUGAAGGUCGCAUCCAUGCCAGGAGAGUUCUGGGGGGAGGCAGUCACCACUGCCGUGUUCAUCCUGAACAGGUCGCCGACGCGCUCCGUGGUCGGCAUGACCCCGUACGAGGCGUGGCACGGUGAUCGACCUCCGGUGCACUUCCUGCGCACCUUUGGGUGCGUGGUUCAUGUCAAGACGGUGAAACCGCACCAGAGCAAGCUCGAGGACCGCUCCACUCCGAUGGUUUUCGUCGGGUAUGAAGAGGGCGGCAAAGCGUACCGCGCCUACAACCCGGCGACCAAGCGUGUCCAGAUCAUGCGGGAUGCUGUCUUCGACGAGUCAUCACGAUGGAACUGGGAGGACUCCUCUCAUGGCACUCCGGCAACAGUGGGUGAGUCGUUCACUGUACCUUAUCCAGCUUACAAGGUGCAGAUGGCUCAGAGUGGCGGAGAAGAAGAAGCAGAACCUCAGACACCGCCGGCUCCGCGGAAACUUGCAGCGGCAGAUCACGCUCUGAAGUGA
rnacentral:rRNA from 1 species